UACAGAGGGUGCGAGCGUUGUCCGGAAUCACUGGGCGUAAAGGGCGCGUAGGUGGCGCGACAAGUCAGUGGUGAAAGCUCGACGCUCAACGUCGAGUCGGCCACUGAGACUGUGGGCUUGAGCACUGUAGAGGCUAAUGGAAUUCCGGGUGUAGCGGUGGAAUGCGUAGAGAUCCGGAAGAACACCGGUGGCGAAGGCGGUUAGCUGGGCAGUUGCUGACACUGAGGCGCGACAGCGUGGGAGCAACAGG
rnacentral:rRNA from 1 species